rnacentral:rRNA from 1 species
UACAGAGGUCUCAAGCGUUGUUCGGAUUCAUUGGGCGUAAAGGGCGCGUAGGCGGCGGGGUAAAUCUGGUGUGAAAUCUCGGAGCUCAACUCCGAAAUUGCACUGGAUACUGCUCUGCUAGAGGGCUGGAGAGGAGAUCGGAAUUCACGGUGUAGCAGUGAAAUGCGUAGAUAUCGUGAGGAAGACCAGUGGCGAAGGCGGAUCUCUGGACAGCUCCUGACGCUGAGGCGCGAAGGCUAGGGGAGCAAACAGG